GAGAGGGAGCGGAGGCUGUAGCACGGUUCAGGAUUACAUUGUCUCGCCGAUUGAAUCAAAUUGCUGUAGAGUAACUGCUGCUCUGUCAGAUGGGAAUGGGUGUGCAGCGGAUUGGCUGACGAGAAUAAGUUUGGUGAGAAGGAAUUAACUGCCGAAGUAAAUGAGAGUUGGUUGGCAGUUGAGUCUCCUUUAUGAUCUACAGGAAUUGUGAACAGUGAGCUUGAGGGAGAGUGGCCACUAACUAGUGUCGAUUCCUUCAGAAAAUUUGCACCGCCGUGAUCUAAUCUUCUGCUAGGCUAAUGUUAAGGUCUUCCUAAGAUAAUACUUCUGUUUGUUAUAUAAGAGAAUUCAUGUCUAUGAUACUAUCUGAAAAGUUUGAAAGAAGUGCGAAGUUUGACGAAGGUCAAGUCAGAGAGCUCAGAUGCUUAGAGCUCAGAGAAUUUUGGAGAGUACAGAGGUUUCAGGAGAAAAGAAAGGAGACGAACAUGAAAGGAAAAGAAACUCGCGCGAACCUGAAAGGAGAGAAACCAGUGUGGC